ACUUGUUUCUNAAUCGAUAACCCUCGNUNAUUUUUACUUUCUUAAUUAACUUAUAUACCGCCAUUAUAAAAAUUUUUUAAAAAAUUUAUUUAAAACAAAAUAUAAUAUAUUAGGUCAAGGUGUANUUUACAUAAAAGUGAAAAUGAGUNNCUUUAAAAAAAAUUUAAGAAUUUUAANAAAAAAUUUUAAAUGAAAAAGGAUUUGGACGUAAUAAAAUAAUAAUAAUUUUCUAUGAAANANAAAAUAAAUGUGC
rnacentral:rRNA from 1 species